UUUCCGUAGGUGAACCUGCGGAAGGAUCAUUAAAAGUAAUAAGUGCUCCCGGCGCGUAUUAUGUAACCCACCUGUGUAUCUUACCUGUUGCUUCCGUGGGUCGUUGGCUUCGGCCACUCCUCAAAUGCGGGGAACCCACGGGAGGUCUACAUCAAACCUUUGCUCUCAAUGAUAUCUGUCUGAAUUGUCUCAAUGAGAAAAGUUAAAACUUUCAACAACGGAUCUCUUGGUUCUC
rnacentral:misc_RNA from 1 species